AAGGGCUUCUCAAGUAAGUCUCUUCGGUCAAGAUAGUUCCUCUUGCUUUCUGCUUGCAUGCAAGAGGAACCAAAGAAUGAGCCGUGAAGGCUAGGCUCAAAAGUUUGUAGCUUCCCACAAUUCGAUUUCAUCAGGAGAUCGGGGAUGGCUUUCACCUUCUUCAUCUUCACGUCCGUCAUGUUGAGGUUCGCAUUGGCAUUGGGGCUCAUUGUGAACAUUCGGACGCUAGUCCUCCCAAUUUUUCCAAAAUUUUACGACGUUUAUUUAGUAUAUAUUUUGAACUUUUAAACGUUAUUUAAUUUCCUUGUGUGAUUGAAGUUCAUUUUUUCUCUAUAUUUUUAUAAUCAUCUAUGAGUCUAAUCAUAUUAAUUGACUUGUUA
rnacentral:lncRNA from 1 species